UACGGGAGGCAGCAGUGAGGAAUAUUGGGCAAUGGGCGAAAGCCUGACCCAGCAAUGCCGCGUGAAGGAUGAAGGUCUUCGGAUUGUAAACUUCUUUUAUGAGGGACGAAGGACGUGACGGUACCUCAUGAAUAAGCCACGGCUAACUACGUGCCAGCAGCCGCGGUAAU
rnacentral:rRNA from 1 species